CGCCAGAGACUUACACAGGGUUGCGACAUCCGCCUGGAAACAGCAGAUGGGGCGGAGGAAGGAGAGUGACGGAAGACUCCCUAGUCACGUGAUACGUCGAGCUUGUUUUGUUUCACAGUUGCUUUAAGAAAAAGACCACUACCCUGAAAAGUGACGUUCCCGAUCAUCAAUAGACAUCAGGUACUCAUUCUUACUAGGAUGUCAUAUUUCACCCGUGUCUAAGGCAACUAGGAACCCCUUUUUUAUCGGAAUUGCAGCGCUGGAGUACCCCUAAAAUGGGCCCACUAUGGAAGGAUUCAUCCCCUUUUGUGACCACAACACAAUUAUUUCUCCUAGCAUUAUACAGCACUCCUUAUAUCAGGUAUCCGAUCAGUAAUCACUUAUUUCCAUAAUUUACUGUAACCACUCGCUCAGUCAUUUAAAAUCCUUUAUUCAUAUUUCAGAGGACUAUUGUUCUAGUAUAAUGAAAUACUACUAAUUGGAAGAUGAGAACCUUGGAUGGAGCCAAGAUACAAGAAGUUAGCAGUUGAAGUCUAAACAUUGGGCUUUGUGGAAGGAUAGAAAAAUCUCAAGAUAGAGAAGAUGCAACAUGAGUGACCUAUGCUACGCCAUGCUCAAAUGACCAAUCAGCAUAUAAAACGAUGAUUUGAUGCGAUAGUUUUACCCUCCCCUUUUGUCAAUUGUAAUAAUCUAAUGUGAUUUGUUAAUAAACGGCAGAGCUCUUUGGGAGUCAGUGCUGAGA